AUACGGAGGGCGCAAGCGUUGUUCGGAAUCAUUGGGCGUAAAGCGCGCGUAGGCGGCUUGGCAAGUCGGGUGUGAAAUCCCGGGGCUCAACCCCGGAACUGCACCCGAUACUGCUUGGCUGGAGUCCCGGAGAGGAUGGCGGAAUUUCCGGUGUAGAGGUGAAAUUCGUAGAUAUCGGAAGGAACACCAGUGGCGAAGGCGGCCAUCUGGACGGUGACUGACGCUGAGACGCGAAAGCGUGGGGAGCAAACAGGAGUAGAUACCCCGGUAGUCC
rnacentral:rRNA from 1 species